GAGUAAUACAUAAGUAACCUGCCCUAGACAGGGGGAUAACUAUUGGAAACGAUAGCUAAGACCGCAUAGGUACGGACACUGCAUGGUGACCGUACUAAAAGUGCCUCAAAGCACUGGUAGAGGAUGGACUUAUGGCGCAUUAGCUGGUUGGCGGGGUAACGGCCCACCAAGGCGACGAUGCGUAGCCGACCUGAGAGGGUGACCGGCCACCACUGGGACUGAGACACGGCCCAGACUCCUACGGGAGGCAGCAUG
rnacentral:rRNA from 1 species